rnacentral:lncRNA from 1 species
CACCUACAGGACAGAGUCGCCUUCCCCCAUCUCUGCAGAUCCAUUCUGCAAAGCCCACCUCCUAACAAAAGACUUUCCUACUCUUCUUGGCUUCCUUUCUGAAUUUCUAGAGCCUGCACCAGGCAGGUAACAAGAGCUCACCAUAGGCUGGGCACUGUUCUAACUACCUUAAAUAGAUCGGCCUAACUUCACCACCAGUCACCUGAUGAAGUAGCCUUCUCCAUGUCCAUUCCACAGAGGAGGAGAGUGAGCUACCAAGAAAGAAAAGCGGCCCCUGGUGGCCAGGAGCUGGCGGCCACAGCUGGACCCUGGUGUCAUUCACAACACCACUCUCUGACCACUCUGUAAAGUGUGUGAACACAGAUAAAACAUAGUCAUUGUCCAAACCACAAAAAUGACCAAACUCCCUUUCCUGGCUAAUAUGAGUGACUGCUGCUUCUUUAUUAGUGACCAUCAUUCCUGCCUUCUCGAUGAGAACUCCUAUGAUACCGACUCUUAGAAUGCUGAUUCUAAGCCAGCCUCCCGCUGUCAUCUAACCCAGAGCAAAGCCUGUUUCCUCAAACCCUUUCCCAAAUCCCCUAACACCAGCUUGAAUCUGUGAAGUCCUUUCCCACACACUCUUUCUGGGAUGCCCCGCAACUCCCAUGGUUGCAUCCCCCUUACUACAACGAGUCAAUAAACCCAGAAUAACUCCAACUUUGUUAAAC